CCCCGUCCAUUAACAGAAUAUCUUGGUCGUACACUAUUUCCACAUGUGUUUUGUUAAAACAUUUGCAUCUAACUUCAAACUCCCUUUUUUAUUCCCUACAAAAAGUUGUGAAAGUGAUGCCUUUUUUCCAAGAAAAAACCUUCUUCUUAAUUAUGUUACCUUCCAAUCCGUUUUUCGUAGCUUUCACUUGUUCUCUUACUUCAAUGAGAGUUGAUGUUGAAGAAGGAUACCUAAAUCAUACGACUUUUCGUUCAUAACUUUGACUGCACUAAACCCGGAAAUAAGUAAGAGGAUGUCAAAAUUGAAUUUAAAGCAAGAAAAAUGUUUUUAUUUGCUUCCCAGUUCCAGUUUUUAUAUUAGCCCUCACAAGUGUGAUUUACUCAAAUUUUAUGCAUCCAUGUGUUUAACACAAUGUCAUAUAGCUAAAUAAUAUGCCAAGAGUGUUCAAAACAUUCAUAAAGCUUUAUGGGGCAUUUUUAGCCAUUUUCCACUUCGACCCCUUUUUGACAUUUUUCUCAUUUAGGCAUCCUACUUGCCUAAAUGUGUUUUAUUUAGGUUCUAGAAUGAAAUUUCAUGAAUAUUUCAUACCAAACCUAUUUUGAUAAUAAACAAAUCCCUAGGUUGUCAAACCUCUUUGAAUCAUUCACUAUAUACUCAUUUUAACAAUCUAUUUUCAACAAAGCCUCUAAAAAGGACAAGUUGUCAAGUUCAUGAAGUUCAUAGCAACAUAUUUGUGUUUUUGCUUUAACUUUCAAGCUUCUAAUCAUGCAUAUAAUUUUCAUUAGUUGCUAUUUUACUCAAAGUCAAGGUUUGACCAAAACAAAAAAAGUCAAUUGUCACUAUUCAUCAUCUUCAACCUCAAGAAAAUGGAAUCGAUUCAUGCAUUUAAGUUCUUGAACUCAAACUAUGAUGCAUUUCUAUAAUCUAUCAUAAAUGUCAACAUGUAUGGCAUUAUUUCAAAUACUAUCUCAAGAAAGUACUUAGGGUUCCAUGGAUUAUACCUUAAUAUGAAGAAGUUGCUGAAAUAGAAAUCAUUAGGGUUGUUUUAUGCUUAAUCGACCAUUGUAGCCCCAUCACCCACCUCCAUUGAUUAUGUCGGCCACUGGUCUGGUCGACAUGGUCACCAUCUUCGAUGUUCCAUUCGAAAAGAACAGAAACAACACACCAUCGCUUCCUUCCCCUUUCUUCCAACUGUUUCCCUUUCUCGUCUUGUUUCUCUGAAUAGAUUCAUGUACAAGCACACACAAUCGAUGUGUGUGUGCAUCUUGUUUUUUGAUUGAGCACACAAAGAGA
rnacentral:lncRNA from 1 species